rnacentral:rRNA from 1 species
GCAGUCGAGCGGACUGAUUAAGAGCUUGCUCUUAUGACGUUAGCGGCGGACGGGUGAGUAACACGUGGGCAACCUGCCCUGUAGAUCGGGAUAACACCGAGAAAUCGGUGCUAAUACCGGGUAAUUUCGAAGGUCGCAUGACCUUCGAUUAAAAGAUGGCUUCGGCUAUCACUACAGGAUGGGCCCGCGGCGCAUUAGCUAGUUGGUAAGGUAACGGCUUACCAAGGCGACGAUGCGUAGCCGACCUGAGAGGGUGAUCGGCCACACUGGGACUGAGACACGGCCCAGACUCCUACGGGAGGCAGCAGUAGGGAAUCUUCCGCAAUGGACGAAAGUCUGACGGAGCAACGCCGCGUGAGUGAUGAAGGGUUUCGGCUCGUAAAGCUCUGUUGUUAGGGAAGAACAAGUAUCGUUCAAAUAGGGCGGUACCUUGACGGUACCUAACCAGAAAGCCACGGCUAACUACGUGCCAGCAGCCGCGGUAAUACGUAGGUGGCAAGCGUUGUCCGGAAUUAUUGGGCGUAAAGCGCGCGCAGGCGGUCUUUUAAGUCUGAUGUGAAAGCCCCCGGCUCAACCGGGGAGGGUCAUUGGAAACUGG